UGUGUUGGUGACUGUCUCACUUUGAAAGCCAGUAGUCUGUUGGCUGGUGAGCUGUAAACCAGAUCUCCUGAGAUGGUUUCCGAAAGAGUCAACGAAAUGGGAGUGCACCCUGGAAUAAAUGUACACAAGGAAAAAAAGAAAAGAAGUAUUCCUUCAUCGGGCACUCACAGAUUCAUCCACAAUUAUAGUAACUAUAAGUCAUAUCGAGUAAAAGUGACCACCAGUAAUAAAUUUGAACUUUUAAUAGUGUUAUUAUUAAAACUAUCGAAAUAUGACAACAGUUACUGUUAAAAAAAUAAAAAGUGAAUGUGCAAAAAAUGAAAAGAAUAUUACGCUGUCAGUUGUAACAUAAGAAUUAGCUGUUAUUAGAAUUAUUUAUUAUUAUAUCUGUCUGUAUAAACAGCCUCUGAUAAACUGGAAUAAAUAUCUUGUUAUUUAUAAAUAAA